GCAUCCAUGGUGUAGUGGUUAGCAUUAACGCCUUCCAUGUGAAACAAGCGUUAGAGUCGGGUUCGAUUCCCGAUGGAUGCA
rnacentral:tRNA from 1 species